rnacentral:rRNA from 1 species
GACAGAGGGUGCAAACGUUGUUCGGAAUUACUGGGCGUAAAGCGAGUGUAGGCGGUUUGGAAAGUCGGAUGUGAAAGCCCCGGGCUCAACCCGGGAAGUGCACUCGAUACUCCCAAGCUAGAGUAUCGGAGAGGUUGGCGGAAUUCUCGGUGUAGAGGUGAAAUUCGUAGAUAUCGAGAGGAACACCAACGGCGAAAGCACUCUGCUGGGCCGACACUGACACUGAGAGACGAAAGCUAGGGGAGCGAAUGGG